rnacentral:rRNA from 2 species
UGCAGUCGAGCGAAUGGAUUAAGAGCUUGCUCUUAUGAAGUUAGCGGCGGCACGGGUGAGUAACACGUGGGUAACCUGCCCAUAAGACUGGGAUAACUCCGGGAAACCGGGGCUAAUACCGGAUAACAUUUUGAACCGCAUGGUUCGAAAUUGAAAGGCGGCUUCGGCUGUCACUUAUGGAUGGACCCGCGUCGCAUUAGCUAGUUGGUGAGGUAACGGCUCACCAAGGCAACGAUGCGUAGCCGACCUGAGAGGGUGAUCGGCCACACUGGGACUGAGACACGGCCCAGACUCCUACGGGAGGCAGCAGUAGGGAAUCUUCCGCAAUGGACGAAAGUCUGACGGAGCAACGCCGCGUGAGUGAUGAAGGCUUUCGGGUCGUAAAACUCUGUUGUUAGGGAAGAACAAGUGCUAGUUGAAUAAGCUGGCACCUUGACGGUACCUAACCAGAAAGCCACGGCUAACUACGUGCCAGCAGCCGCGGUAAUACGUAGGUGGCAAGCGUUAUCCGGAAUUAUUGGGCGUAAAGCGCGCGCAGGUGGUUUCUUAAGUCUGAUGUGAAAGCCCACGGCUCAACCGUGGAGGGUCAUUGGAAACUGGGAGACUUGAGUGCAGAAGAGGAAAGUGGAAUUCCAUGUGUAGCGGU